CUUCAGGUAUUGAUUAUUUUAUUGUCUGUCACAUUGUCUAAUUGUAAUUCAUUUCUUACAUCAGGUAUUUCCUACUGUAGUCUCCCCAUUUCACACUGGAGGGCUGCUCAGAAACCUACAACAGAUAACUGAAUGAACUUCAUGGGUGUUUGCAGCCUUCCAAAAGUUUCUGUGAAGUGCCGCUGUACAGAAAAUUGAUUUCUGCCAUUCAGUGGUGUUUAAGGGCUCCUCCAUAACAUUACUGUGAUGCUGCCAACACAUGAAAUACUGAACAGAUAAUCGGAAACUGCAGUUCUACAGCCACUGAGAAUGUAAAACGUCAUAUGACAACAGCCCUUCACAUCUUAAUUAAGGCACUGUGUUCUGGUUAUAAUGUUGUUUCCAUUCAACAAUGGACAGUUACAACAAGCAGCAACAUGAGAGAAUAUACUGCCAACCCAUGGACAAAAUUAUUGCUUCUCUGAAGAAGAGGUGAUGUUAACAUUUAUUGAUCCUGACCUCAUAGGAUCCAAACACCUAUGUUUGCUUUGUAUUUUAUGACAAUUUAACUCUUGUUUCAUGUCUUUGUUUUAUUUUCCCUGAUGUAUGUUUCAUAUUCUUUGCUUAACUAUCACCCAUUUAGCUCAUUUCUAUACUUAGCCUUGGACUAAUCUAAACUGCAGUAUGUAGAAACCAGGUAUGUUUAUACAGUACACACACACACACACACACACAUACACACAUGUAUGUUGUUGUAUGUUUUUGUGUUUUUCUGUGUACAACAAGCUUGUAACUAAGUGCUAAUAACCAAUCUCCCGAGUGGGAUUAAUAAAAUUGUUUUGAAUUAGAA